CCCCCUUUUAACUUUUUGGUGUGGCAUAUUUCACCUUCUAUUUCUGUGCUUGAGAUAAUAUGCAAAAGUAUCCAGGUUAAUUUUGUCAGAGUUGGCUUAGUAAAUAUGCCUUCAAUAUUACAAUCAGUGUGCACCAGAGAAUCAGAUAUAUAGCUCUUGAUAAUUGGAGCACAGGGGAGGGUAUUUAGUUUUUUGUAUUGCGUUUAUUUUUUAGAUGGAUAACAAAGUAUGCAUCUAUACAGAACUUUAUUCUGGAAAGGGAAAAGAUAAAUGCAGUAAUGCUAACUGUGCUGUUUUACACAGAGUUACUGACAUCCCCAUUGUGGAUUGCAGUAAUUCAUGCAAGACCUGAUAAUUAAAAUUAUUUGUGUGGCACCAUUAGAAGACUCUUGGAUGAUUCCAUGCUAGAUGUUGUUUUUCCAAAAAUGGAAAUUUUAACUGGUCUUCUUACAUAUCUGGGCUUGGCUGUAUGCUUAUAUCAUAUGCUAUAUGUAUAUAGGUGUGUGUGUGUAAGUGUGUGCUUGCGCUUUUGUAUGUUUGUUAAGUUGUUUUUGAUAGGCUUGUGUGUUUAUUAAGUUAAGACUUGAGAUCGGAUCUAGUAGCAUUCCCGAUAAAUUAAAGGUGGCAUUGCUUGGAAGAAUGGUAAUAGGUCAGCCUGCCAAGUACGAUAUUGCAAAUUCAAGUCUAACGCAGCCAUUGAUUGCACAUAGCAGGUUGAGGUCUGUACCAAGUGUAAACACCCAGCAAGCUCUGACAAUGGGGACAUUUCUGGAAGAAUGGCCUUGAGGUUUGUUAGGAUAUUCAUUACUUGAUAAGCAUGGGUGAGCAUGCUAAAUUGCUAAUGUCGAUGGCUUAUAUGAAACUAGGAUCGGGUAGUGGUUUUGGGGAACUCUAGGAGUUGAAUGGCGAGGUAGCUUGUUGGAACCUCUACAACAGAUGCAGAAAUGAAAAAAUGGUGGUGGAGGAUAAGAGAGAGAAGUUUUGUCUUCAAGCAUGUGAUACACAGUCUUUUCAUACACACAACUCGUAUGGGUAUGGUAUAUGGAUUUGUUCGUCAAGAGACAUUCGGGAGGCGACUAGUGGCUUCUGGCGAAGCUUCUAGAAGUUCGACCGCUACAUAGAGAAGAUCCUCUUCUGUUUUUAAACGGAUACUUUUGAGGAGUUCUUUACUUUUUCAAGAAAAAGGACAUUUGGAGUAAAACCUUCUGCAAUAUAGGAAGACAUUAUAUCAAACCUGAGCCACCUGCACCAAGUCCACGUAGCCAAAAGCAAACGAGGGAAAAGUUGGGGCUUUGGAGGAUGCUGGUCGUGGUCAGCCGCUAACAAUCUCUUCAACCUUCUUUCGGCAAAUUCAGUGUGUUGCUUCCGCACAGUUUGUCACUAGGGGGAUGAAAAAGUCCUUUUAAAAAAACCCAAAGAAUGCAGGAACAAUCCAGCCUGUUGUCUGUACUCUGUUGCCAUCUAUGGAGCUGACUGGGAACAAGGUUUAAAGGAGCGGGCGUUGAAGUUGAGUCUGCUUUGUAUUCAUCAAGUGCUACACAUGGUCUGAUGUUAAUGGAGGAACUGGCAGAUAUUAUUCAGUACGAAGGGUUGCGAUUGUGAGCUGAUUUUCCUCACUCGCAUGCCCAUGUGCACCUGAUUGUUUGGUAUAAUCAUGUUCGUAAUUGAAGAUGGAGCUAAUAGGACUUACUUUGGCUGGCAGAUAUGCUAAAACUAUCAUAAACUAAUUGCAUAUCAAAUAUCAAUGUAGCUCUGCCAUUGUACAGUUCACUAACGGGUUUCUUUUUCCCUUCACACAGUUAAGUUUGGUUUGUUCAUGACAUUUGACACACGAUCUUAGUUGCAGGAACCUCCAAUGUGGGUGGCGAAUCCACCUUGGAACCUCACUCCCGCGCUCUCAAGUCAGGAACCUCGCUUCCAUUGAGAAGGAACCCGCUCCCAACUAGGAUAGAACCUCUUAGGCAUGUAAAUCCCAAAAAAAAAAAAAAACAAAAACAAAAAUAAAA